AUGGUUUUAGGGGACUUCAAUGAAAUAUUAUACUCAUCAGAGAAGGACGGGGGCCCCCCUCGCCAACAGUUCUGUUUGCAGGUGUUCCAAGACGCCUUAUCUGAUUGCUCAUUAGAGGAUGUUGGAUAUAAUGGAGAUAAAUUCACAUGGUUUCGUGGGGGCUUACGUGAGAGGCUGGAUCGAGCGGUUACUAAUGCCGCUUGGCUUCUGUUGCACCCGUCCACUGGACUUAGUAAUUUGGACAUGGGCAAGUCAGACCACCGACCGAUUCUUAUGGAUACCGAGUAUCUAACAGGAGUGGCAGCCAUCAACCCUAUAAGAGAGAAGAAAUUCGAAAUGAGAUGGUUGGCAGAAGAAUUAGUAAAUGAGAUUAUUAACACGGCAUGGCAGAAGGCCGUGCACCAUGGUCUGUGUCCUACGAUCACCGAUAAACUCGCGGCUGUACACAAUGAUUUGCAUGACUGGGAUCGUAGGGUUUUGAGGAAACCGCAAGCGAGAUUGAAGUCAGCUCGCUGA
rnacentral:rRNA from 1 species